UUGCAACCACUGAAAAUCUGAUUUUAAAAACCGCGCAUAAGAUCAGAGCUUACUUUAGUCAGCAGACAGUUUGAAAGGUACAUCACUGAACUCAUUUCAGUAAAGAAACUUAAAACCAUUGAUGCCUGCAACGUGACUUUUUUAUUUCUUUAAAGGGGAUGCAGAGGAGUCAAUCAGUGGGAAGAGUCAAGAAGAACCUGAGAAGAAGCCAUGCUGGGUUUUUCUGUUGAAUUUUACUUCCUUGUGAACUUUUGCUAAGACCAUUGUUAUUUGUGUUUUUGUUUCAUUGUUAUUGUUGGAACCUUAUCAACUCAUUUUCUCUAUUUGUGUUUCAAAUAUGUUUUUUUGAACUUUCUCUGA
rnacentral:lncRNA from 1 species